GGUGAACGCUGGCGGCGUGCCUAAUACAUGCAAGUCGAGCGAACGGACGAGAAGCUUGCUUCUCUGAUGUUAGCGGCGGACGGGUGAGUAACACGUGGAUAACCUACCUAUAAGACUGGGAUAACUUCGGGAAACCGGAGCUAAUACCGGAUAAUAUUUUGAACCGCAUGGUUCAAAAGUGAAAGACGGUCUUGCUGUCACUUAUAGAUGGAUCCGCGCUGCAUUAGCUAGUUGGUAAGGUAACGGCUUACCAAGGCAACGAUGCAUAGCCGACCUGAGAGGGUGAUCGGCCACACUGGAACUGAGACACGGUCCAGACUCCUACGGGAGGCAGCAGUAGGGAAUCUUCCGCAAUAGGCGAAAGCCUGACGGAGCAACGCCGCGUGAGUGAUGAAGGUCUUCGGAUCGUAAAACUCUGUUAUUAGGGAAGAACAUAUGUGUAAGUAACUGUGCACAUCUUGACGGUACCUAAUCAGAAAGCCACGGCUAACUACGUG
rnacentral:rRNA from 1 species